UGCAGGGCUUGGUACAUGUGGUUUCUAAUAAGUCAGCUUUUGGUGAGACCUAUGGAUUUGCACGUCUACCACGUUCCUGGGAUGCUGACACUGCGGUCUGGAGACUUCAGGAGCUGCUGGGCUACAGAAUGGAAACAGAGAUUAACAUCUGCAUCUUAGUUUAUUUUAGCUGAAUCCCACGGUCAUUGCAUGAGCACCACUAGAGAUCAAAUGGAGGACUUCAUGCAUGCUGAUCAGGAAUUUUCGAACUGAGCUACACUCCUCAGUGGUAC
rnacentral:lncRNA from 1 species